UGUCUGGGCUUCUUCUUCUUCUUUUUAGUUUAUAGUGGUUGGUAAACCAGCUUAGUGGUGCAUUACCGCCACCUGCUGCACUGGAGUGUGGCUCCUCCAAUAAAUGCCCACACCUUUUCCGGCUUUUAGGCCAAUCAGCGACGCGCCCUGCGUGAACACGGGGUUUGAAAUGUGCAGAGACUCGGCUAAGCUAGACGAGAAAGAGAGUUCACCUGGUUUUGUUCUGCACUACUUCCUGUCACACACACAAGACCCAUGCCAGCGGCAAUGGCGAAUGAUACCGCGUGGAUGACGACGUGGAACAUGGACACAAAUCCCAGCAACAGAUGCUGUGGUGUAGAUGUCAUGGAAGGUCCUCUUCCCCCUCUCCAAGGCAGAACUCCGAGCUCCAUGACCUGAUGACAUGAGCUCCUUCAUUCUUUAAGUCUUAAAAAUAGACAGCAUAUGCUUACAUGGGAUGACCCAAAUAUAUCCUGCCAGCAAAAGUAGGUGGAGGAGGAAGGACCCCAAAACUGGCAGCUUAAUAUCAGAACACUCUGUCAGCCCUACAGCAGCAGACACUGCAGUCACUGGUACAGCUCUUUGUGGACCUUCACUAGUUGUGCACAUCACCAGUCACUGAGCUGCUGCAGAAUGACCUACAUGUUACAAUGUUACCCAAUGCUGGAAAACAAUUUCCAGUAGUGAAUUCUCUAAGGAUCCAAACCUCUCCCUUCUUAUUUGAUGACUGAAACAUCAGCUUGCAGCCUCGUGCACAGCGAGGAAUCGGACAAGAUUUUGCAUCAGAAGAAAUAUCCAAAGUGUUGGGGAGCAUCAUGACCAACCUUGGAAGAUCUGUGUUAUUGGCGUAAAUUGAACAUUUUCCUUCACUCUUACCACAGCAACAAUCAUCCAGGCAAAUACUGUAAUAAAAUUGCGCAAACUUG